ensembl:lncRNA
UGUGUCUCAGGAAGAGUGACACUGUACUGUCAGUGAGAAUCACUGUUGAAGUUCAGAUGAAAAACAAGAUUACUCUUUUUCCAUCUUUUAAAAGUCUCACGAAGUAACAUCUCUGGUGAUCUCUGCCAGCACUAACACCGAGACUGUGUUGUUUCAGCAUCUGGGCAACUUCAGCAUGAGAACAUUGGAAAAAACAAUCCUGCACUGGCUAUUCACUGUGUAAUUCUCAGUGAUGCUGGUGGACGUCCUAGCUGUACAAAGGGGAGAUCUGCAGGCUGUGGCUUUUUGCCUUUGAACAUCCUCAAGUCAAGCAUCAAGAAAAGGCAUUUUGACUUAUGGUCACAGAAGGGUACAUUAUCUAUGAAGCACUUACAAAGCACUGGAAUUAAUGAGUUCUGUUUAGCUAUGGGUUUUCCAUCAGACUUCCAAAUGGACCCAGAAGAGAGCUCUGUAUGGAUAUCUGCAAUAAAUAAGUGCUUUAAUAAAUUGAGCUAAAUGAAAUCUGCAUUAAAAACAAAA